rnacentral:rRNA from 1 species
UGUUGACCUCGGAUCAGGUAGGAAUACCCGCUGAACUUAAGCAUAUCAAUAAGG